ensembl:misc_RNA
GUGAAAGUCUCAUUUGAACUGAAUGAUAUCCAGAUUAAAUAUCUAGAUGAGGAUCAUGAUGAG